rnacentral:rRNA from 1 species
CCUACGGGGCGCUGCAGUGGGGAAUAUUGGACAAUGGGCGAAAGCCUGAUCCAGCCAUGCCGCGUGUGUGAAGAAGGCCUUCGGGUUGUAAAGCACUUUCAGUGGGGAAGAAAGCCUUGGGGCUAAUACCUUCGAGGAAGGACAUCACCCACAGAAGAAGCACCGGCUAACUCCGUGCCAGCAGCCGCGGUAAUACGGAGGGUGCGAGCGUUAAUCGGAAUUACUGGGCGUAAAGCGCGCGUAGGCGGUCUGAUAAGCCGGUUGUGAAAGCCCCGGGCUCAACCUGGGAACGGCAUCCGGAACUGUCAGGCUAGAGUGCAGGAGAGGAAGGUAGAAUUCCCGGUGUAGCGGUGAAAUGCGUAGAGAUCGGGAGGAAUACCAGUGGCGAAGGCGGCCUUCUGGACUGACACUGACGCUGAGGUGCGAAAGCGUGGGUAGCAAACAGGAUUAGAUACCCGUGUAGUC